rnacentral:rRNA from 1 species
UGGGGAAUAUUGCACAAUGGGCGCAAGCCUGAUGCAGCCAUGCCGCGUGUAUGAAGAAGGCCUUCGGGUUGUAAAGUACUUUCAGCGAGGAGGAAGGCGUUUAAGGUUAAUAACCUUGGCGAUUGACGUUACUCGCAGAAGAAGCACCGGCUAACUUCCGUGCCAGCAGCCGCGGUAAUACGGAAGGGUGCAAGCGUUUAAAUCGGAAUUACUGGGCGUAAAGCGCACGCAGGCGGCCUGUUAAGUCAGAUGUGAAAUCCCCGGGCUCAACCUGGGAACUGCAUUUGAAACUGGCAGGCUUGGAGUCUUGUAGAGGGGGGUAGAAUUCCAGGUGUAGCGGUGAAAUGCGUUAGAGAUCUGGAGGAAUACCGGUGGCGAAGGCGGCCCCCUGGACAAAGACUGACGCUCAGGUGCGAAAAGCGUGGGGAGCAAACA